rnacentral:rRNA from 1 species
UUGACAUCCAGAGAACUUGGCAGAGAUGCCUUGGUGCCUUCGGGAACUCUGAGACAGGUGCUGCAUGGCUGUCGUCAGCUCGUGUUGUGAAAUGUUGGGUUAAGUCCGCAACGAGCGCAACCCCUAUCCUUUGUUGCCAGCGAUUCGGUCGGGAACUCAAAGGAGACUGCCGGUGAUAAACCGGAGGAAGGUGGGGAUGACGUCAAGUCAUCAUGGCCCUUACGAGUAGGGCUACACACGUGCUACAAUGGCGUAUACAAAGAGAAGCGACCUCGCGAGAGCAAGCGGACCUCAUAAAGUACGUCGUAGUCCGGAUUGGAGUCUGCAACUCGACUCCAUGAAGUCGGAAUCGCUAGUAAUCGUAGAUCAGAAUGCUACGGUGAAUACGUUCCCGGGCCUUGUACACACCGCCCGUCACACCAUGGGAGUGGGUUGCAAAAGAAGUAGAUAGCUUAACCUUCGGGAGGGCGUUUACCACUUUGUGAUUCAUGACUGGGGUGAAGUCGUAACAAGGUAGGCGUAGCGAG